rnacentral:rRNA from 1 species
AGUCAUUGUAGCAAUACAAGGCAGACGGCUCAGUAACGCGUAGUCAAUCUACCCUAUGGACGGGAAUGACCUUGGGAAACUGAGAAUAAUGCCCGACAGAACAUUAUACCUGGAACGGUUUAUGUUUCAAAUGAUUUAUCGCCGUAGGAUGGGACUGCGGCCUAUCAGUUUGUUGGUGAGGUAAUGGCCCACCAAGACUAUUACAGGUACGGGCUCUGAGAGGAGUAGCCCGGAGAUGGGUACUGAGACACGGACCCAGGCCCUAUGGGGCGCAGCAGGCGAGAAAACUUUGCAAUGUGCGAAAGCACGACAAGGUUAAUCCGAGUGGUUUCUGCCAAAGAAACCUUUUGCUAGUCCUAGAAACACUAGUGAAUAAGGGGUGGGCAAGUUCUGGUGUCAGCCGCCGCGGUAAAACCAGCACCUCAAGUGGUCAGGAUGAUUAUUGGGCCUAAAGCAUCCGUAGCUCGUUUUGUAAGUUUUCGGUUAAAUCCAUACGCUCAACGUAUGGGCUGCCGGGAAUACUGCAUAACUAGGAAGUGGGAGAGGUAGACGGUACUCGGUAGGAAGGGGUAAAAUCCUUUGAUCUAUUGAUGACCACCUGUGGCGAAGGCGGUCUACCAGAACACGUUCGACGGUGAGGGAUGAAAGCUGGGGGAGCAAACCGGAUUAGAUACCCGGGUAGUCCCAGCUGUAAACUAUGCAAACUCAGUGAUGCAUUGGCUUGUGGCCAAUGCAGUGCUGCAGGGAAGCCGUUAAGUUUGCCGCCUGGGAAGUACGUACGCAAGUAUGAAACUUAAAGGAAUUGGCGGGGGAGCACCACAAGGGGUGAAGCCUGCGGUUC